UACGAAGGGGGCUAGCGUUGCUCGGAAUCACUGGGCGUAAAGCGCACGUAGGCGGAUUGCUAAGUCAGGGGUGAAAUCCUGGAGCUCAACUCCAGAACUGCCUUUGAUACUGGAGAGCUUGAGUCCGGAAGAGGUGAGUGGAACUCCGAGUGUAGAGGUGAAAUUCGUAGAUAUUCGGAAGAACACCAGUGGCGAAGGCGGC
rnacentral:rRNA from 1 species